rnacentral:rRNA from 1 species
AUCGGUGACAAUUCCGGCAGGGAAACACCCGUUCCCAUUCCGAACACGGCAGAUAAGCCUGCCAGGGCCGAUGGUACUAUCGCCUAACUCGGCGUUGGGAGAGUAGGUCGUUGCCGGUC